rnacentral:rRNA from 1 species
AUCUUCCACAAUGGACGAAAGUCUGAUGGAGCAACGCCGCGUGAGUGAAGAUGGUUUUCGGAUCGUAAAGCUCUUUUCUUAGGGAAGAACAAUUACAGGAGUCACCUUCUGUACCUUGACGGUACCUCACCAGAAAGCUACGUCUAACUACGUUACAGCAGCCGCGGUAAUACGUAGGUUGCAAGCGUUGUCCGUAAUUAUUGGGCGUAAAGCGAGCGCAGGAGGUCCUUUAAGUCAGAUAUAAAAGCCCAAAGCUCAACAGUGGAGGGUCAUUGGAAAAUGGAGGACUUGAGUACAGAAGAGGAAAGCGGAAUUCCACGUGUAGCGGUGAAAUGCGUAGAGAAGUGGAGGAACACCAGUGGCGAAGGCGGCUUUCUGGUCUGUAACUGACGAUGAGGCGCGAAAGCGUGGGGAGCAAAC